UACAGACUGAAGCGGACGGAUGCAGAGGUGGAAAAACUCCAAAACAAACAUGGUGAGCUCUCCAGGAGAAUAUGAAGCAUCAUAUUACAUGUAUCAUCCUGAGUCUGAACCUGAGCAGAGCGAUCCAAGGUUAACCUCAGCAGGAGCCGCAACUUCCUGGUACUCUCAAACUUUGUCACAUCGAUCCAAGAUAAAAGUAAGAGCGACAUUUAAACUGAACUCAGGGAUAAAAGCGAAGGUGCCACCAAGUGUCAGUGUCAGCACAGUGUAAUGUAGAGCACAAUGUAAAGGGAUAUUCCGGCGUAAAAUUAAUUUAGAGUCAAACACACCGUAACACCGAGUCAGACCCCCCCUCCAGAGAUGAAUGUUGUCGACCGCUUGCUUCUCUAGUUAUACCAACUUUAGUAACGACCGCACGAUAGAAAUACACAGCGGUCUGAGGAGCCAUAAACAAACCUCGACCAAAACACCACUCUAUAGUCACAAAUAAUGCUCAGAACAGCACCUAACUUCAUCAACAGGACAUUUAGGGUCACAGACAUAGUACUAGACACCAAACAUCUUUUUAACUUUGACUAAGAGACUAAACACAACUCACCUACUCUCUUCCAGCAGCCGCUUGUUUGUAGAGAGACCUCAGGCCAGUCCAUUACAGACUACAGCGGGGUGCCGCAGCUCAAGGAAGAACAUGUAUGAGACGUUAAGGCAGAAGAACUACCGCGUUUGUAAAAUGAUUAAUGAUGAUUAUUACUUCAAGGAAAUGAUAAAGAAAUGAUCAUAAAUGUUCUUCCUUGAGCUGCGGCACCCCGCUGUCAUCUGUAAACCCCAGAAGGGAGAGUCUGCAGGCUCUGAUAGAAAUUGCUUGAAAAAAAUAUGUGCAAAUACCAAAUUUUAAUCACCAAGGUUCAACUUUUCAGGUUCAAAAUGUCCAAAAAUUUUUCUUCAAAUUAAAACUCGAGUUAUUUCUGAAAUUUUGGCAUCGAAGUCCAGAGGAGCUGUCCACAACCGUCUACUCUGAAAAGACCCUGGGAGAUUUGGGGGACUAUUUUCUAGUACCAAUAAGCAUCUAAAAGAGGACGUAUCGAGCUUCAAAACAGAGGGAAAAUGUCUCAGGGUGUUGAAGUAAACAGAUUUUGGAUGUUCACGUUUUCAACUCAGCUUGUUUUCUCUUUCAGACUUCGUAAAGGUCCACCUGGACGUCACCUGUUCUGAUUUAGAUCUGUCCUGUCUCAGUCUGACUCUGUUUCCUCUUUGUUUCUCCUCCCAGGAACACACACACACAUAUACACACCUCUGAUUUCACGUCUCAUCACCCCCGUGACCCACAUAGACCAGGAACUAAUUCACACGGACCAAAGGGAAAAGAAAGAGAAACGGAGAGGUGACAGGAGGCAGACCAAAACGAGGGGAGCUGGCGCUAAAACGAG